GACCGGAUCCCCCGCCUCUCCUUCCGAUCGUAACGCUUCCAAUUCAUCAUUCGCACAGCACCCGGACACCUGCAACAUCUUUCCGUCCGGAUUCAUCCCUAGCACCAAGCCGUGAUCGGCUCCCAACCGUCGGAAACCCAGCUCGGCAUUCAUCUACAGCUCAGUCCCCGGCUUCUCCGAGAUCCAGAUACUCCGCAUCAGCACCUCCCAUCGAUCCCGCGGCCAUCUCAUCUUCU
rnacentral:lncRNA from 1 species